AUUGAACGCUGGCGGCAUGCUUUACACAUGCAAGUCGAACGGUAACAGGCCUUCGGGUGCUGACGAGUGGCGAACGGGUGAGUAAUGCAUCGGAACGUGCCCAAUCGUGGGGGAUAACGUAGCGAAAGUUACGCUAAUACCGCAUAAGCCCUGAGGGGGAAGGGUGGGGACCGGCGAAGGCCUCACGCGAAUGGAGCGGCCGAUGUCAGAUUAGCUAGUUGGUGGGGUAAAGGCCCACCAAGGCGACGAUCUGUAGCGGGUCUGAGAGGAUGAUCAGCCACACUGGAACUGAGACACGGUCCAGACUCCUACGGGA
rnacentral:rRNA from 1 species